rnacentral:misc_RNA from 1 species
GAUGAAGAACGCAGCGAAAUGCGAUAAGUAAUGUGAAUUGCAGAAUUCAGUGAAUCAUCGAAUCUUUGAACGCACAUUGCGCUCCCUGGUAUUCCGGGGAGCAUGCCUGUUCGAGCGUCAUUUCAACCCUCAAGCCCCGCUUGGUGUUGGGCCCCGCCCGCUGUGGCCGGCCCUAAAGACAGUGGCGGCGCCGCCUGGCCCUCAGCGUAGUACAUCUCUCGCUCCAGGGUCCGGUGGCCGCCUGCCAGAACCCCCCAACUCUGUGGUUGACCUCGGAUCAGGUAGGGAUACCCGCUGAACUUAAGCAUAUCAAUAAGCGGAGGA